rnacentral:tRNA from 1 species
GACCGAAUGGCGUAGUGGUUAGUGACUCUGACCUCUGACUACUGAGCCGAUGGUCCCGGGUUCGAUUCCCGGCUGGGGCA